CGUUCACUGUGAACAAAUCAGGACGCUUAGAGUAUGGUUACAAGAAUGACUCAGCGCAGUAUGAAUUCUUUGUUUUCUUCGGAAAACAAGCUCAACGAGAGCCAUCGGGGGUAGAUCUAUCUCAUGACGAGUGGUGGAAUACGGUGACUCAUGAGAGAGAAACGGAGGCGAAGGCGUCUACCUAGAGGGUUUCUGUCGAUCAAGGGCGAGAGUAGGAGUAUCCAACAGGAUUAGAGACCCUGGUAGUUCCUACUAUAAACGAUGCCGACAGGAGUUUGUCAUUUUAUAAUGGCAGAAUCUUUGGAGAAAUCAUAGUUCUUGGGCUCUGGGGGAACUACGACCGCAAGGCUGAAACUUGAAGGAAUUGACGGAAGGGCACACCAGGGGUGGAGCCUGUGGCUUAAUUUGAAUCAACACGGGGAAACUUACCAGGACCAGAUGUUUUUUAUGACUGACAGGCUUUGGGUCUUUCAGGAUAUGAUUUUUGGUGGUGCAUGGCCGUUGGUGGUGCGUGGGUUGACCUGUCUAGCGUUGAUUCAGCUAACGAGCGAGAUUAUCGCCAAUUAUAUACUACGCCUAGGUUUCUAGGUUGCA
rnacentral:rRNA from 1 species